AAAAACAUGGCUUCUUGCUAAAUAAAUAUAAGAAGUCUGACCUGCCCAGUGAAAUUUUUUAACGGCCGCGGUACUCUGACCGUGCAAAGGUAGCAUAAUCACUUGCCUUAUAAUUGAAGGCUUGUAUGAACGGUUUGACAAGAAUAAAGCUGUCUCUUUUUAAAUUCACAAAAUUUAAUUUUUAGGUGAAGAAGCCUAAAUAAAAUUGAAAGACAAGAAGACCCUAUCGAGCUUAAAACUUCUUUAUUAAAUAAUAAUAAAAUUAAAAUUUAAUAAAAGUUUUUAGUUGGGGCGACUGAGGAACAAAAAAGCUUCCUUUAAUUAAUUUUAAGCAUAUAAGUUUUGAUCCAAAAUUUUUGAUUAAAAAACUUAGUUACCGUAGGGAUAACAGCAUAAUUUUUCUUGAGAGUUCAUAUCGAAAGAAAAGUUUGUGACCUCGAUGUUGGACUAGGAUAUCCUGAAAGAUGUAGAAGUCUUCAAUGGUGGUCG
rnacentral:rRNA from 1 species